UCGAGAAUCUUCGGCAAUGGGCGCAAGCCUGACCGAGCGACGCCGCGUGCGGGAAGAAGGCCUUCGGGUUGUAAACCGCUGUUGGGGAGGACCAAUCAAAUGAGGGAAUCCCUGAGGAAGCACGGGCUAAGUUCGUGCCAGCAGCCGCGGUAAGACGAACCGUGCAAACGUUAUUCGGAAUCAUGGGGCUUAAAGGGCGCGUAGGCGGCUUUGUAAGUUGAAGGUGAAAUACCAGCGGCUCAACCGUGGAAUGGCCUUCGAAACUGCAAUGGCUUGAGGGAGCUAGGGGCAUGUGGAACUUCCGGUGGAGCGGUGAAAUGUGUUGAUAUCGGAGGGAACGCCAGUGGCGAAAGCGGCAUGCUGGAGCUUUUUCUGACGCUGAGGCGCGAAAGCCAGGGGAGCGAA
rnacentral:rRNA from 1 species